rnacentral:rRNA from 2 species
CUUGCUGGAUGCUGACGAGCGGCGGACGGGUGAGUAAUGCAUAGGAAUCUGCCCGAUAGUGGGGGAUAACCUGGGGAAACCCAGGCUAAUACCGCAUACGUCCUACGGGAGAAAGGGGGCUCCGGCUCCCGCUAUGGGAUGAGCCUAUGUCGGAUUAGCUAGUUGGUGAGGUAACGGCUCACCAAGGCCACGAUCCGUAGCUGGUCUGAGAGGAUGAUCAGCCACAUCGGGACUGAGACACGGCCCGAACUCCUACGGGAGGCAGCAGUGGGGAAUAUUGGACAAUGGGGGAAACCCUGAUCCAGCCAUGCCGCGUGUGUGAAGAAGGCCCUCGGGUUGUAAAGCACUUUCAGCGAGGAAGAACGCCUAGCGGUUAAUACCCGCUAGGAAAGACAUCACUCGCAGAAGAAGCACCGGCUAACUCCGUGCCAGCAGCCGCGGUAAUACGGAGGGUGCAAGCGUUAAUCGGAAUUACUGGGCGUAAAGCGCGCGUAGGUGGCUUGAUAAGCCGGUUGUGAAAGCCCCGGGCUCAACCUGGGAACGGCAUCCGGAACUGUCAAGCUAGAGUGCAGGAGAGGAAGGUAGAAUUCCCGGUGUAGCGGUGAAAUGCGUAGAGAUCGGGAGGAAUACCAGUGGCGAAGGCGGCCUUCUGGACUGACACUGACACUGAGGUGCGAAAGCGUGGGUAGCAAACAGGAUUAGAUACCCUGGUAGUCCACGCCGUAAACGAUGUCGACCAGCCGUUGGGUGCCUAGCGCACUUUGUGGCGAAGUUAACGCGAUAAGUCGACCGCCUGGGGAGUACGGCCGCAAGGUUAAAACUCAAAUGAAUUGACGGGGGCCCGCACAAGCGGUGGAGCAUGUGGUUUAAUUCGAUGCAACGCGAAGAACCUUACCUACUCUUGACAUCCU